CUACGGGUUGCUGCAGUGGGGAAUAUUGGACAAUGGGGGAAACCCUGAUCCAGCAAUGCCGCGUGUGUGAAGAAGGCCUGCGGGUUGUAAAGCACUUUCGGUUGGGAGGACUGCUUCUAGCACUAAUAUUGUUGGAAGUUGACGUUACCUUCAGAAGAAGCACCGGCUAACUCCGUGCCAGCAGCCGCGGUAAUACGGAGGGUGCAGGCGUUAAUCCGAAUUACUGGGCGUAAAGCGCGCGUAGGCGGCUAGAUCAGUCGGGUGUGAAAGCCCCGGGCUUAACCUGGGACCUGCAUCCGAUACUGUCUAGCUUGAGUACAGGAGAGGAGAGUGGAAUUCCACAUGUAGCGGUGAAAUGCGUAGAUAUGUGGAGGAACACGAAUGGCGAAGGCAGCUCUCUGGCCUGAUACUGACGCUGAGGUGCGAAAGCGUGGGGAGCAAACAGGAUUAGAUACCUCGUAGUC
rnacentral:rRNA from 1 species